rnacentral:rRNA from 1 species
UCCCAGACUCCUACGGGAGGCAGCAGUGGGGAAUAUUGGGCAAUGGACGCAAGUCUGACCCAGCAACGCCGCGUGAAGGAAGAAGGCUUUCGGGUUGUAAACUUCUUUUAAGGGGGAAGAGUAGAAGACGGUACCCCUUGAAUAAGCCACGGCUAACUACGUGCCAGCAGCCGCGGUAAUACGUAGGUGGCAAGCGUUGUCCGGAUUUACUGGGUGUAAAGGGCGUGCAGCCGGAGAGACAAGUCAGAUGUGAAAUCCACGGGCUCAGCCCGUGAACUGCAUUUGAAACUGUUUCCCUUGAGUGUCGGAGAGGUAAUCGGAAUUCCUUGUGUAGCGGUGAAAUGCGUAGAUAUCACGCAGAACUCCGAUUGCGAAGGCAGCAUACCGGCGCCCGACUGACGCUGAGGCACGAAAGCGUGGGGAUCGAACAGGAUUAGAUACCCGCGUAGUC